UUAAGUUCAGCGGGUAUCCCUACCUGAUCCGAGGUCAACCACAGAGUUGGGGGUUCUGGCAGGCCGCCGCCGGGCACCGCAGCGAGAGGUGUACUACGCUGAGAGCCGAGCGGCGCCACCACUGUCUUUGGGGCCGGCCGCGACGGGCCCGGCCCAACACCAAGCGGAGCUUGAGGGUUGAAAUGACGCUCGAACAGGCA
rnacentral:misc_RNA from 1 species